rnacentral:misc_RNA from 1 species
GUUUCUGUUGCACCCGAGUGUGUUUCGCGUGACUAGACUGCAUCACGCCUGCUCACCAACAUCACCACUAUCUGCCUUCCCCAGUCCGUUCUUGUUAUUUACUUUUUUCCUCCUCACAGCCCCGUCAUACCCGCAGCGCCUGCGUGCUUGAUCCUGUGCGUUGUCUGUUCACUAUCCUGCUGUCUGGUUGUGUGUGCGUUGUGUGUGUGUUUGUGUGCGUGUUCAGCACCUCCUGCUACGCCCACGCAUACACGUGAAGAAAGAGGUGAUGCAGGAAAGGUAAGCGCGUACACCCCCUGUUUUUCCGCCCGCCCUUGCGACGCCCUCCCGCGUGUUUAGCUCUCGCUGGGCUUACGCUCCACUUGUUGUACAUCGCGAGGCGCUCCGCCUGUCUCUCCCCCGCCUCCCCCCCCCUUCCCCACGAUCAGUCCUUUCGCCUUUCCAACCGUUUGCGCCCUCUCCACCGCCCAUCUGUCACCCCUUCAUGUCGAACAUCAAGAAGGUGCAGACAGAGGCAGACCGCCUCCUCAAGAAGGUCAAUGAGGGCCUCGACGCGUACGACGAGCUGCACGAGAAGCUAGCUAACGCGCCCAACGCGAGCGCCAAGGAACGCCUCGAGGGUGACCUAAAGCGUGAGCUUAAGAAGCUACAGCGCCACCGUGAGGCCAUGAAGAGCUUCAUGCAGAACGACGACUACAAGGAGAAAACGAAGAUGCAGGUGUCGCGCAAGAAGAUCGAAGAGCGCAUGGAGACGUUUCGUGCGAUCGAGCGAGAAAUGAAGACGAAGGCCUUCAGCAACGAGGGGUUGGCCUCCGCCGCGCUGGAAAGGGCGGACUCCGCCACGGAGCAGUGGCUGAAGGACGCGAUUGAGGAGGGACGCAAAAAGAUAGAGCUGCUCGAGUACGAGGUGCAGAAGGCGAACAAUGGCCGCGUACGCCGUGGGAAGCAGCAGCAGAAGUCCGAGUACCAGAUACGCCUCGAGAACUUGCAGACCCAUUUCUUCAAGUGGGAGUCGCUGCUGCGCAUGGUGAACAACGAGGAGCUCGACACCGACGAGGUGGAUGACCUGCAGGAACCGAUUCAGAAGGUGCUCGAGGACGACGUUGAUUUGGAGGUAAUGGAGGACAUGUCCAUAUAUGACAGCUUCGACAUCCCAGAGCCGAAGGCGAAGCCCGUCGUGCCAUUUGACGUCAGCGACUACGAAGACAAGAAGGUGCAGUCGCCGAAGACGACGGCCAAGGCCAAGACGCCAACGUCCACAGUGCAGGCUAAGCCCAGCCCGUUCAUCACAUCUCCGAAGGAAACGGCGGCGUCCUCUACACCGGUCCCCUCGUCGACGCAGCAACCGGCGCUCGCGCAAACGCCGCAGCAGCUGCUACCCCCCACCGCCAGCAGCCCGGCGGACGACGACAUCGGUGAGGAGGAGCCAGUGCCGGAGUGGAUGGAUGACGACAUGGACACCGCCAACGACGACACCUUUGGCGAUGACGCCAUGAGCGGUGGUUUCACGAUCGGCUCGCUCGCCGAGAUGGCCUCGGCAACGAGCAGGGUGACGCAGGACUGGGAGAAGUCGCAGAAACCCAUCGGGUCGCCGGAGCCCAAGACGGUGAAAGUGACCGACUCCGGCCAUGGAGCACCAGAGGAGAAGCCGAAGCCGACUCCGCCGGCCGCGGCGCCGACGCCGAACGCGUGGGAGCGACGCGCCGCCGAGCAGCAGAGCCGGCAGAAAGCACAGCAGCAGCAGCAACAGAAGCAAGCCCCGGAUGCUGCCUCGCCGGUGGCGCCGUUCGGGCCAGUCGCUGCGACCGCCGAAGCGAGUGCGCCGGAGGCGGUGACAACUUCGCUGAUUGCCCCGGCCGCAGCGACGUCUCCGUCGACCCCGGUCGGCAGCGUUGACACAGACCCCAGCCAGCCCUUCCCGCCCAUUCCUGGUGCCGCUCCUGGUUCCAAGUUCACGCCGAAGAAGAUCCACGAGCUCUUGGAUAUGUCUCUUGGCAACCUGCCGCACACGCUCGACGUGCAGCGGCAGCGCCCCUACGAGCCGCCGAACGCGAUCGAUGCGAUCCCGUACUUCCCGCAGGAGGUGCUGCCGGUGCUGUCGAACAAAGACGUCUACCAUCAGAUGGAUCUCGACACGCUCUUCUUCAUCUUCUACUACCACCAAAAGUCGUACCAGCAGUACUUCGCCGCCAAGGAGCUCAAGGCCCGCUCCUACCGCUACCACACGAAGCAGCAGCGGUGGUACCAGCGGCUGGAGCGUCCGCAGACGACGACAGAGACGGAGGAGCGCGGCUCGUACACCUUCUUUGACUUCGAGGACAAGUGGGACCACGACCGCAUCGACGACUUUCUCUUUGAGUACAAAUACCUUGAGAAUGAACUCCACUGAUCUGGCCGCGAGCGUGGUCGCGGGUGCGCGGCGGUUGGCUCGCUCGAUUGCCUGCUCGUGCCGUGUGUAAGAGCACGCGUGUCCGUGUCUCCGGGAGCGAGAGAGAGAGAGAAAGGGGAAGCGUGCGGCUAAGCUGGUACUGCGAGAAGGACGGCAACAGAGACACGCACACGUAUAAUCUAAGGGGGAGGGGGUAGAAAGCAGGCAUGACGUGAGGAUCCUUGUAUACACUCUACCCGCCCGCCCCCUCUCCGUGUGUUUUUGUACCCCCCCCCACUCAAGCGGCUGCGUCCUGCAGAUGUGAGCGUGAUGCUUGGGGGGGGGGGGGGGGUUCGAGAAAACAAGAGCGUCCUCUAGUUCAUCAGCUCGUUUUGCGAUUGCCUUCGUGGUUGCCAAUCGUGCUGGUGUGUGUAUGUGCGCUGCUUAGGACUUGUCUCUCUGCAUGCAUGGACGCGCAUGCGCGCUUGUUGCUGUGGCCUCGACAGAGAGUGGGGGGAGGCGCCACAGCACACACUCUCCUGCCAUCACCUCUGCGCCACCCUCCUUCCAAAUGUUGUGUUUCCGUCGCUGCUUUCUUGUCUUCGUAUAGCGCACCUCUCUCUCUCUGCCGUCGUCGUUGUUGAAUGAUGUCGUCCGUUCACCAUUAAUCCCUCUGUCUGGCGCACACACGCGCGCGCGCAACUUUGGGGAGAGCGAGGCGGAGUGAUGAUAGAGUGCUUAGAAUACGUCCAGCGCCUCUUUCCAUCUCCUCUUGUGCUUGUCGCUCGGCAUGCCCUCCCCCUCCUCCUCCUCUCUUCCUCGUCGUUGGCGAUUGUGCGUGUGCGUGCGUGUGUGCGUGUGCGUGUGUGCGUGUGUGUCGACCCCACUGGCUUUUGGUCAUGUGCGUUUCUCUGUUAGCGAACUUACAAAGCCCUUCCCCCCCUCCUCUCUCAACGGAACAAAAACAAAAACCACCACAACGUAUCCACACAGCCGCCCCAGAAGCCCAUCGGCAGAGCGACUUGCGGUCUAACACUGUGCUGUCGGACAAAGGACGAAGAGGGGAGGGGCAAUGGAAGGGGGCCUCCUCUCUUUCCAGCAUCGUCGUCUCCGAGGCUUGCCGAUGCCCGUGAUGGGUCGAAAAUGCUCCACUGACGCGUAUGUGUCCGUAAUCGUGGUUGUGGGCGCGCUGAGUGUCUCGCCUUUGUGUGUGUGUGUGUGUGCACGUGAGUAGCAAGCACACCCCUUCUCAUCCCCCACCCUCCUUUCCACGCUGCCGCGAAGCGCCACGGCACCCUCGACAACGGAGUGGCGCUCCUUGUGACCCAUUGUGUCCUUUCUUCUGUACCCGCUGCGGGCCACCUGCUUCUAUGGAGUACGGACCUUGAUGUGGUCCACACACACACACACAGCGCUUCUACCUUCUCCCUCCCCCUUCGGAUCUUCGUUCCUCUCUCUCACCCACACCACGCGAACGUGUCUACAUGCGUGCGUAG